GUUUGGAAAGUUUCUCUUCAUUUUUUUUUUUUACAUGCAGGGUGACUGUAUUAUCUCACUCAACUUCAGAGUAAUAGUGGUCCAGUUCUCACAACUCCUUGUCCUAGGAGAGGCAAGCUACUUCUGUUUGUUCAGGGUGCCUAGCUGGUAUUUAAUAGAAAUACUUAAAAGACCACCAACAGGAUUUUGAUGGAUGUUCUGGUGCCUUUUGCAGUCUCUGUUUCUCUCAAGAAGAAGCCCUAGAUAAUUCAACAUCAGCAGCAAAGCCCAAGAGGCAAGGAAAUGCCCUGGGACUGACAGCAAAGGCAGCUGAGGCCAAGUGGUCGAUUGGUCUCAGCUGUGCAUCAAACACUGCCACUACCACCUGAAGUAUCAGAAUUGCCUGUUUGGGCACUACUUAAAGCACAGUAUUUUCCAGGAAAAGAAAAUACGUAAUCUCUCACUCAGUUUUUAAGGGAAAAGAUCAGUUUUUCUCUUUUAAGUUAACAAACAACGGCACUUCCCCAAAGAAAAUAUAGAUAUUCAGUGAGUUUUCUGUGAAUAGUAAGAAUCCUAAAUGCUUGUGCUGGCGGCUGCAAAGGAUCUACAAUAUAUCUGCAGAUAAGAGGUAACUAGGUUGUUGGUUUUUUUUAAGUGACACAUAUGAUACAGAAACUAAAAGAGAGCAGCAGUACUGUAAAGGGAAAUAAUUCAGGAAGAUAUAUGUAGAGGCUAUUUU
rnacentral:lncRNA from 1 species